CUGCUCUUUGACUGGAUACAGCUUUGCUGUGUGCAGUCUCCUUCAGGGAGUUUGCUUCUGAACCCAGAUGGCCAAAAAACCUGUUUUGUCUUGGAAAUGUUACUUUCCUUAGCUGUUAUCAGUUCAGGUUGCCAAACUGUCCCUCAUUUCACGGCAGAUCUGAAUUCCCUCCACGGAAGCUGGGGAGCUGAGCAUGAUCUGUGCUUUGCAGGCCAUUUUUUGCUGGAGAAGACACGGGCUCAUGCUGCACAGCCCAGAGCUUGCCCUGAGCCAGGAGAUCUGGAAAGGGUGGUGGAAGAGGUCCAAAGGGUGGUGGAAGAGGUCCAAAGGGUGGUGGAAGAGGUCCAAAGGGUGGCAAGCUCCAAAACGUGACCAAAGGGAGGCAGAGCUGUGCUGGGCCUCUGUAGCCUCUGAGCAGAACCAGAGUGCCCGAAACACGUCCUUGCAGCCAGGAGUGGAUGAGCCCCAGGCCCCAUCCACAGGCCUGCAGCUGCCCUGCUCCGGAGCUCCUGCCCAGCGGAGCCUCAGCUCAUCAUCUUCAGAGAUUUCUGCCUCCACCACCACAAAGCAACAACUCAAGUGUCAGAUGAAACAAGCCUUUUUCAGAGCAAAGCCCCAGAGCAGCCGGUAUGAGAGGAGGAGUUUCCACCAUGGAGGGCUGCAAUAUAUCUUCGUGCUGGUGGCCCGGGAGGGAGGAGCAGGGGCUGCCGCAGGAUCUGCGUGGGAGCCCCGUGCUGCAGUGGAAGCUGCCCUGCUGCACCGGCAGUGCGUGGUGCCACGAAGUCCGGACACCGACACUGAGAAAGGAGGUAGCAGGUCUGUGUUGACUUCACAUAUCUGUCUGUGAACAGCAGAAAUUAGACAGUCCUUCUGCCAUUUAGUCACCAGGCAGCCCAUGCUUGCCUAGAGAUAUCAUUUCUCUAAUUCAGUGUUGUGGCUGCUCAGAAUUACACACCCUGCACGGAAAGGAAGAGGAAAUGCAACCUAGCAGCUGAUGAGUGACAAUGAUACAUCACACGCGACAGGCUCUGCAUUUUUGCAAAUCUUCUGCUUGCCUAAGGCACCAAAAAACAUUUUAAGCUAUUGAAUACUGCAGCCAGUAAGAUGCUGCAGUAAUUUAUUGAUGUUCCCAGCUUGCCUUAUUCCUUUCAUCUAUCUUUGUGCCUUCCCUGUAAGGCUGAACUAGCUAAUUUUUUCUUUUUUUUUUUAAAGAAGUUAGGUGAGCUGUUCACCUUCCACUGGGAGGGCCUGAGCUCUUUUUGAGGAUCCUGACACUAGUGAAGGUCAAGAAGUGACCUUCCUUUGCUUUGCCGUGGUGCGUGCGGUGGUACGGACGCACGUCUCUGAGGAAGGGACGAUGCUUUGGUGCAGACAGGCGGAUCAGCUCUCCGGAGCCACUGCCGCAGUGCUGCUGUGCCCUUCUCACCCCACCGCACUUGGAGCAAGUGGGGGCCCCUGUUGCAGCCCCUGGGCUGGAAAAACAKGACUGUGUCUGAGCAUAUUCUGCAAUGCAAGAUCCCCAGGGAAGGAAACAUCUGGAAGGACCGCGUGUGCUACGCAGCUUCAGCACCUCUACUCCUCUCUUGGCGGUGAGGGUCAAUUGCUGCAGGCUCCAGCAUCAGAUGUGGACAGAUGUCUUGCACGGGACUUGACAUGCUCUUCCAGGUGGGGUUUGUGUGCCAGGACGAGAGCUCUCGUGUCCUGGAGAGCUUGGCAGACAUCUCCAACUGCGCAGAAAGCUGAAGAUGCCACUCAGGU
ensembl:lncRNA